rnacentral:rRNA from 1 species
GACGGAAGGUGCAAGCGUUGCUCGGAAUCACUGGGCGUAAAGGGUGCGUAGGCGGCUUGGUAAGUUGGGUGUGAAAGCCCCGGGCUCAGCCCGGGAAGGGCACUCGAAACUGCCGAGCUGGAGUGCCGGAGGGGAGAGUGGAAUUCCUGGUGUAGCGGUGAAAUGCGUAGAUAUCAGGAGGAACACCGGUGGCGAAGGCGGCUUGCUGGGCCAGUUCUGACGCUGAGGAGCGAAAGCGUGGGGAGCGAACAGG